rnacentral:rRNA from 1 species
UACGUAGGGUGCGAGCGUUGUCCGGAAUUAUUGGGCGUAAAGGGCUCGUAGGCGGUUUGUCGCGUCGGGAGUGAAAUCAUCUGGCUUAACUGGGUGCUUGCUUUCGAUACGGGCAGACUAGAGGUAUGCAGGGGAGAACGGAAUUCCUGGUGUAGCGGUGAAAUGCGCAGAUAUCAGGAGGAACACCGGUGGCGAAGGCGGGUCUCUGGGCCGUAACUGACGCUGAGGAGCGAAAGCGUGGGGAGCGAACAGG